rnacentral:rRNA from 1 species
AUGGAGAUGGACUUGAUAGACAUCUCAUGGUUAGCCCGUUUACCUAGGUUGAUGUAUCUUGACAUUAGUUCUAUGAAUCUCAGCUCAAUAGCUGAUUGGCCUCUUGCGGUGAACAUGAUUCCUUCUUUGAAAGACCUCCGCCUUUCUUACUGCUCACUUUCCAGUACAAACCAAUCCCUCACACACCUAAACCUCACAAAUCUUCAGCACCUUGAUCUCUCGCUUAACUACUUUGGUCAUCCAAUUGCGUCCAGUUGGUUUUGGAACGUAACAAGCAUCGAGUACCUCGACCUUUCUCAUACCUCCCUGCAUGGUCCAUUUCCUAAUGCGCUAGGAAACAUGACGUUUCUCCGCCAGCUAAACUUUUAUCACCACUCUUUUGGAACUGGAAACACAGCCACAAUGACAGUAGAUUUGAAAAAUCUAUGUGAUUUGGAAAUGAUAUGGCUUGAUGGGAGUCUCUCCUCUGGAAAUAUAACAGAGUUUAUGGAGAAAUUGCCACGCUGCCCGUCAAACAAAUUGCAAGAAUUGAAGCUGAGCAGCAACAAUAUGGUUGGCAUGCUGCCAAACAGAAUGGGCCACUUAACAAACUUAUCUAGUCUCGACCUGUCCUACAAUAACAUUACUGGAGCUAUACCGCCAUGGUUGGAAAAUUGCACUAGUUUGUCAUAUCUUUCUCUUUCCAGCAAUAGUCUCACUGGACCUAUACCAGUAGGGAUAGGGAGUUGCACUAUAUUAGACAUCCUCGACCUUUCUUACAAUGAUAUUACUGGAGCUAUACCACUAGGCAUAGGGAAUUUCACUACAUUGAGGUACCUUGUUCUUUCUCACAACCUUUUGAGUGGACAUGUGCCUUCUAAGAUUGGUAUGCUUGGUGAUUUGAUUGACCUUGACCUUAGCAACAAUAACCUGGAUGGCCUGAUCACGAGGGAACACAUGGUUUCUCUGAAGAACUUAAGGCACAUGGAUUUAUCGCAUAAUUCUUUCUCAGGACCUCUUCCGAUAGAAACUGGAGCUCAAUUUUUACUAGAAUUGUCUUUGUCCUCCAAUUACUUCAGUGGUCAUAUUCCUGGAUCUAUAUGUCAGUUGCGGAACCUACUUGUCUUGGAUCUAUCAGACAACUUUUUAGAGGGAGAACUUCCUCAGUGUUCUCACGGGCCUAACUUGGUUUUCCUCCUCUUAAGUAACAACGGCUUUUCUGGCAAGUUCCCAUCAUCACUUCGAAACUACUCGAGUUUGGCUUUCAUGGAUCUUUCAAGGAACAAUUUGUAUGGGACAUUGCCGUUGUGGAUUGAAGAAUUGGUACAGUUGCGCUUUUUGCAACUAAGCCACAACUUGUUGUAUGGAGAUAUUCCGAUGACUAUCACCAAUCUUCAACACCUUCAUCAAUUGAGUUUAGCUGGAAAUAAUAUAUCUGGAGUUAUACCUGAGUCUUUGUCAAAUUUAACAUCAAUGGCCCAAAAAGAUCCAGAGAACUCCGAGGACGACAUGUCUGCAUGGUACAACAACAAUGUAGGUCAAUUUAGAGGAGUUUGGCAUGUUGUGAUGAAGCGCCAAGAACUGAAGUAUGGUGCUGGAAUUUUUGAUGUGGUUGGUAUUGACCUAUCACUCAACCACUUAAUUGGAGAGAUUCCAGAAAGGAUAACUUCUCUUGAUGGAUUACUGAAUUUAAACUUAUCAUGGAACCACUUGAGUGGGAAAAUUCCCACGAAGAUUGGGGCUAUGAAAUCAAUCGAAUCACUCGACCUCUCAAGGAACAACCUUUAUGGUGAAAUCCCGGCAAGCUUAUCUGAAUUGACAUUUUUAAGCUCCUUGGACUUAUCAUAUAACAAUCUUACAGGAAGAAUUCCUCCAGGAAGUCAACUUGACACUAUCUACACUGAGAACCCGUCAAUAUACACUGGUAACAUUGGUUUGUGUGGCCCUCCUCUUGAAAGGAAUUGCUCAGGAAACAACUCACUGGAGCAUGUGAAUCAACCGAGAAGGGGCGGUGUUUAUGAGGCAAAGAUGUUCUUUCACUUUGGACUUGGAUCUGGGUAUGUGGCUGGCCUUUGGGUUGUGUUUUGUGCCAUGUUAUUCAAGAAAGCAUGGAGAGUUGCCUAUUUCCGCCUCUUUGACAAGUUGUAUGACAAGGCAUAUGUGUUUGUGGUUCUUACUUGGUGCAGGAGAAAUGGCAAGGCAAGUACAAGUUGA